UACAGAGACCUCAAGCGUUAUCCGGAAUCAUUGGGCGUAAAGCGUACCGAUAGGUGGUUUUACAAGUCAGAAGUGAAAUCUCUCAGCUUAACUGGGAGACUGUCUUUUGAAACUGUAAAACUAGAGGGGCAAAGAGGAAGCUGGAACAAACGGUGUAGUAGUGAAAUGCGUUGAUAUCGUUUGGAACACCAAUAGCGUAGGCAAGCUUCUGGGUGCCACCUGACACUGCUAGGACGAAAGCGUGGGGAGCGAAUGGG
rnacentral:rRNA from 1 species